rnacentral:misc_RNA from 1 species
CUCAAUUUGAUCCACUAAGAAACCCACAUCACAAAAACUCAACCCAUCAUCAUCACCAUCAUCAUUUUCUCUAUUGUCCUUAUCAUCAUUAACAUUAGCAUCAGCAAUUUCUUCAAUCUGAACCCCUUCAUCCAUCUCUCUUGAGCUCGAAGUCGCAUUCUCCCAAUAACUAUCAUAAUCGCCAUCAAUGUCAUCAUCCAAAUAAUCAUCUUCAUUCGCCAGAUGAUUCAAAAUCCCAGUAGCAGAAACCCCAGAAAAGUUCAAGCCAGGACGACCAUCCACCAUCCGCCAAUUGAUCAACCUAUAAUUAGAAGCAACAUCAAGGGACUUAAGCUUCUCGGUACCUUUAGUCUUGUCCUUGGACUUGCAAGAAGGGUGCAAGUGACAGCCAUUACAGCGAGGCCUGGUGCACUUUCCGGUGAACUUGGAAUGGUUGGUGGGUCGAGGGUGGACCUUGGCGAAUAAUCCGGCAGUAGGGGGAGAGUCAAACCUGUUGAAGAAUCUGGAGUGGGGCUUGGGGUUCCAUGGAGAAGGCAAGAUCCUGUAGGUCCUAACCAUUCCAUGCUGGCGACCUUCCCUCCUCAUCUUGGAUAAGAAUGGCUUUGUGGGCUAGAAGAAAAAC